rnacentral:rRNA from 1 species
UGAGGAAUAUUGGUCAAUGGGCGGGAGCCUGAACCAGCCAAGCCGCGUGAGGGAAGAAGGCCCUAUGGGUCGUAAACCUCUUUUGUCAGGGAACAAAAGCGAGUAUGUAUACUAGUCUGAGUGUACCUGAAGAAAAAGCAUCGGCUAACUCCGUGCCAGCAGCCGCGGUAAUACGGAGGAUGCGAGCGUUAUCCGGAUUUAUUGGGUUUAAAGGGUGCGUAGGCGGCGACGCAAGUCAGCGGUAAAAGCCCGGGGCUCAACCCCGGCGAGCCGUUGAAACUGCAGUGCUAGAGAAGGCGAGAGGUACGCGGAAUGCGCAGUGUAGCGGUGAAAUGCUUAGAUAUUGCGCAGAACUCCGAUUGCGAAGGCAGCGCACUGGCGCCUGACUGACGCUGAGGCACGAAAGCGUGGGGAUCGAACAGGAUUAGAUACC